UAUUCUGCCCCACGGGGAAGGAUGAGAAGCUUCGACUAAGGUUCGACUCGAGCGAAGCGAGAGAACGUUGCCGCAGGGAACGGCCCCGAAGGCGAGGCGCUUUAGCGCCGAGUAAUCCUUCCCCCACCACUG
rnacentral:sRNA from 1 species